rnacentral:rRNA from 1 species
GGUUUGAUCAUGGCCAGGAUGAACGCUAGCGGCAGGCUUAAUACAUGCAAGUCGUGGGGCAGCGCAGUGUAGCAAUACAUGGGCGGCGACCGGCAAACGGGUGCGCAAUACGUACGCAACCUUCCUUUAAGCGGGGGAUAGCCCAGAGAAAUUUGGAUUAAUACCCCAUAGUAUAUUGAAGAGGCAUCUUUUUAAUAUUAAAGCUCCGGCACUUAAAGAUGGGCGUACGGCUGAUUAGGUAGUUGGCGGGGUAACGGCCCACCAAGCCUACGAUCAGUAGCUGAUGUGAGAGCAUGAUCAGCCACACGGGCACUGAGACACGGGCCCGACUCCUACGGGAGGCAGCAGUAAGGAAUAUUGGUCAAUGGACGCAAGUCUGAACCAGCCAUGCCGCGUGGAGGAUGAAGGUCCUCUGGAUUGUAAACUUCUUUUAUCUGGGACGAAACACUCCUUUUCUAAGGGGCUUGACGGUACCAGAUGAAUAAGCACCGGCUAACUCCGUGCCAGCAGCGCGGUAA